CCCUUAGAUGUUCUGGGCCGCACGCGUGCUACACUGAGUGGAUCAGCGGGUCAGGUUGCGCGAAAGCGUUUCCUAAUCUUUAAAUCCGCUCGUGAUGGGGAUUGACGGUUGCAAUUUUCUGUCAUGAACGAGGAAUACCUUGUAAGCGCGGGUCAUCAUCCCGCGCUGAAUACGUCCCUGCCCUUUGUACACACCGCCCGUCGCUCCUACCGAUUGAGUGGUCCGGUGAGGCUUUGGGAUCUGAGCGGAAAGAGCGUUUCGCUGUUUCUGCUCGGAAAACUCAGUCGAACCUUAUCAUUUAGAGGAUGGAGAAGUCGUAACA
rnacentral:rRNA from 1 species